UGGGCAGCCUGGCCCCUUGCUGAGGCGUGCUUGCGCGUGUCCGUUGUCGCCCUCACCCAGCUGCUGCGGCGGAGAGACGGAGGCCAGCGCGGGGAGCGGAAGCCGGAGCCUGUCGGGAGCGACCCCGGGAAGGCCAGUCCCUCCUGCCGGUGGGAGGCGUGUUGGCGUGCGGCCGGUGGCGGGAUCGAUGGCCACCUGGUAGGCGAUGCUGCUGCGGCGGAGAGACGGAGGCCAGCGCGGGGAGCGGAAGCCGGAGCCUGUCGGGAGCGACCCCGGGAAGGCCAGUCCCUCCUGCCGGUGGGAGGCGUGUUGGCGUGCGGCCGGUGGCGGGAUCGAUGGCCACCUGGUAGGCGAUGGUAAGCGGCAGUGGCCUGCGCCAAGGUAGCCCCCGGGGGCAGGUGUGUGGCGCCCGGACCCGCACCCUCUGCUCCCGGGGGUGGAGCUGACCUGCUUGCCCGCGGUUGGGCUCGGGAGCCUGCGGGCCGCGGCCAGGAGGGAGCUGGCUGGCCGUCCCGGCGGUGGGGGCUGUGGCGGUGGCCGUCCCGCGGGUGUGCCCGUGCUCGGAUCGAUGAUGACACCCACAAACGCAUUCCUUGGAAAAUCUGAACAAAAUGAGUGAGAACUCACUACC
rnacentral:lncRNA from 1 species